rnacentral:rRNA from 1 species
UGAACGCUGGCGGCGUGCUUAACACAUGCAAGUCGAACGGGAAACCUUUUAAUGAAGCUUCGGCAGAUUUAGCUGGUUUCUAGUGGCGGACGGGUGAGUAACGCGUGGGUAACCUGCCUUAUACAGGGGGAUAACAGUCAGAAAUGACUGCUAAUACCGCAUAAGCGCACAGGACCGCAUGGUCCGGUGUGAAAAACUCCGGUGGUAUAAGAUGGACCCGCGUUGGAUUAGCUUGUUGGUGGGGUAACGGCUCACCAAGGCGACGAUCCAUAGCCGGCCUGAGAGGGUGAACGGCCACAUUGGGACUGAGACACGGCCCAGACUCCUACGGGAGGCAGCAGUGGGGAAUAUUGCACAAUGGGGGAAACCCUGAUGCAGCGACGCCGCGUGAAGGAAGAAGUAUCUCGGUAUGUAAACUUCUAUCAGCAGGGAAGAUAGUGACGGUACCUGACUAAGAAGCCCCGGCUAACUACGU